rnacentral:lncRNA from 12 species
CAGUGCUUUGAGAAAGGGUUCACUUUUGGCCAAAUCGAGCCUGAAGACAGUAGGAAAAUACUGUUUUCUGCUGCCUUCUGUCCAGUCCACAUAAAGCACUUUCACCCUAUUUUAUCCAGUCUAAAUAACUCCAUAAUUUACAAAUAAUAACUUACAAAAUUAUGAAACAACACUGAGCAUAAAAACGUCAAACUAAUUAUUUAUUUAUUUGAAGUGUUUAAUAUGUGAGUGUUUAGGUUAUUGUAUCAAGCCUUCAACUUGGGGAUUUUUUUUUUUUUUUUUUUUUUGUCUCAAGUAAGACUGUAUAACAUUCACGUUACUUACGUAGAAAGUGCGACAGCGCACCGCAUUAAAACACAGACAUUAGCAGUUUUCAUAACCGCGGGCCAAAUUCAAACACGAAACUAAAAUUAAAACAUCUUUGAGAGCAAGGGGGGGCCCUGGUGUUUCGGGAGCCCUACGCAGCUUGUUUACUUUGCGUAUAGGGAGGAUCGGCUCUGAUCAUUACAAAUUAAUGUCGUUCUGCUUGCUUUCUUAGGUUAUUUAGGAUGAAACAGUAGCUAUUAAGAUACAUUUUAAACUCUUUCAAAGCCCAUUGCAAGGGAUGUGCCAGUAGUGUGCACUUAUGCAACGUAAUAAUCAAUGACGUACAUCUGAGUAAACGAGACGUGGGGAAUUUAGAGAUAAAAGUCUCUGAAGAGCAAAACUGGGCGUGUCUGAAUUUGUGGGUGUUUUUAAACCGCACUUUGCCCCACCCCUAAACCUACCGUCACUAUAUAGACUAACACACAAAAACGGUCCGAUUUGGUAACUCCCAUUACACUUGGGAACUUAGCCUGUGAAGGGCAUAAGCGAACAGAAACGCAGACGCAACUGUGCGCGAAAUGGAGCGGAACGCGGAAAAUGAGUUGCUGUGUGUGUUGCUCCGUUGAAUUAUGAGGCAACUGAAGGAGAGAAUGUUACUAUCUCCUUCAAAACUGCUGAACUGGAGAGAGCCGAUCAAGUGAAGAUAACUCUGACCAGAGGAAGUCAGAAAAAACUGAUUGCGCAGCACUGUCGCUGUGUCCAUCGUGGAGACUGUAGUGUUGUGGAAACAUCGGGAGUCUUACUGAGAGCUGAAGAAGGAACCGUAACUCUUCUGCGUGUCAGCUCCAAUAACUCAGGCCUCUAUGAAGUAAUAAUCAUUGGAAGUAAUGUGUCCAGGAUAAAUGCCACACUUGUUGUCAACGGUGAGUAUGUUACCACAAUAUAUCUGUUUAUCUAUAUCAGUAUUAUGAGAAAAAAAUCCUGUAACGAUUGUGUUCAUAAAGUCAUUUAAAGUCAAUUAGGAAUCUGCAAGUUCAGAAAAGUUGCCCAUGCAAGUUUAGCGUGUGUUCAGUUCAGUUUAGUGGGUCAUGUGCUGACCAGCAGAAAGCUGCUUGACUUUAAAGUGGAUUCUGUGUGAACUGUGCUUCAAACAUCACUGCACUACUGAUACACUACUGAUACACACACACACAUGAUCAAGUUGUCUUCACUAGGUGUAGACUGGGGCAUUCAAGACUUACCCAUGGGUUUUUAUUAAUAGGCGAAGUUCCUCCUUUAUGUCUUUCAUGUAAAGUUCCUUUGACUAUUAAGCAUAUUUUGUUGAAUUGUAAUUUUUAUGAAGCUGCUAGAAAACGCUUUUAUUCAGAAACAUGCUUGCACGGAAUAUUUGAAAAUGUACCACCUAAAUGUAUUUUAGAUUUUCUAUCUUAUGUUAAGUUGAAAUGUUUUAUAUAAUGUAAAUCUUAUGGAUGAUACUGAACCUUUUUGCCAUGUAAAUAGCCAUGAUGCUAACAUGGUGUAAAAAACUUAAUAAACAAACAAACUGAUACACGCACUACUGAUACACUACAGUCGUGGCCAAAAGUUUUGAGAAUUACAUAAAUAUUGGAAAUUGGAAAAGUUGCUGCUUAAGUUUUUAUAAUAGCAAUUUGCAUAUACUCCAGAAUGUUAUGAAGAGUGAUCAGAUGAAUUGCAUAGUCCUUCUUUGCCAUGAAAAUUAACUUAAUCCC